UACGUAGGGUGCAAGCGUUGUCCGGAAUUAUUGGGCGUAAAGAGCUCGUAGGCGGUCUGUCGCGUCGGCUGUGAAAACCCGGGGCUCAACCCCGGGCCUGCAGUCGAUACGGGCAGACUAGAGUGCGGUAGGGGAGACUGGAAUUCCUGGUGUAGCGGUGAAAUGCGCAGAUAUCAGGAGGAACACCGGUGGCGAAGGCGGGUCUCUGGGCCGUAACUGACGCUGAGGAGCGAAGGCGUGGGGAGCGAACAGG
rnacentral:rRNA from 1 species